CUACGGGGUGCACCAGCCGCGAAAACUUUACAAUGCACGAAAGUGUGAUAAGGGAAUCCAAAGUGCUCAUGUUUUUACAUGGGCUUUUGCCAAGAGUAAAUAUCUUGGAGAAUAAGUGAUGGGUAAGACUGGUGCCAGCAGCCGCGGUAACACCAGCGUCACGAGUGGGAAUCAUAUUUAUUUGGCCUAAAGCGUCCGUAGCCGGCUUGGUAAAUUUAUUGUGAAAUCAUUGUGCUCAACGCAAUGGCGUGCAGUGAACACUGCCAGGCUUGAGACUGGGAGGAGUCAGAAGUAUUCUUGGGGGAGCGGUAAAAUGCUAUAAUCCCAAGAGGACUACCUGUGGCGAAGGCGUCUGACUAGUACAGUUCUGACGGUGAGGGACGAAAGCUAGGGGAGCGAUCCGGAUUAGAUACCCCGGUAGUC
rnacentral:rRNA from 1 species